AAGCGGUGGAGCAUGUUGCUUAAUUCGAAGCAACGCGAAGAACCUUACCUGGGCUUGACAUGCAUGGAUUAACCCCUGGAAACAGGGGCCACGCCCGCAAGGGUGGAACAUGCACAAGUGCUGCAUGGCUGUCGUCAGCUCGUGCUGUGAAGUGUCGGGUUAAGUCCCUUAACGAGCGCAACCCUUGUCGCUAGUUGCCAGCGAGUAAUGUCGGGUACUCUAGCGAGACUGCCGGUGUCAAACCGGAGGAAGGUGGGGAUG
rnacentral:rRNA from 1 species